GUGCAGUGGAUUUAAGCUCCACAAAUAAAGUUAAUACUUUUUUUAGAA
rnacentral:tRNA from 1 species